UACAGAGGGUGCAAGCGUUAAUCGGAAUUACUGGGCGUAAAGCGCGCGUAGGUGGUUCGUUAAGUUGGAUGUGAAAUCCCCGGGCUCAACCUGGGAACUGCAUUCAAAACUGUCGAGCUAGAGUAUGGUAGAGGGUGGUGGAAUUUCCUGUGUAGCGGUGAAAUGCGUAGAGAUCGGAAGGAACACCAGUGGCGAAGGCGGCUACCUGGACAGAUACUGACACUGAGGCGCGAGAGCGUGGGGAGCAAACAGG
rnacentral:rRNA from 1 species